GAUGAACGCUGGCGGCGUGCCUAAUACAUGCAAGUCGAGCGAACCCACGAGGUCCUUUCUCCUCUGACGUUAUCGCCCGACGGGUCAUUCCCACGUGUUUAACCUACCUCUCCGACUGGGGUACUUUCGGCAGACCGUAUCUUCUACCCACUAAUUUAUUGACCUUCAUUGUUCCCUCGUUAAAUUCGCUUUUUCUUUCACUUAUAGCCUACUCCUCGCCGCAUUAGCUAGUUGGGAAGGUAACGGCUUACCAAGGCGACGAUGCGUAACCGACCUGAACGGGUGAUCGGCCACACUGGAACUGAGAAACGGUCCAGACUCCUACGGGAGGCAGCAGUAGGGAAUCUUCCGCAAUGGGCGAAAGCCGGACGGAGCAAAGCCGCGGGAGUGAUGAAGGUCUUCGGAUCGUAAAACUCUGUUAUUAGGGAAGAACAAAUGUGUAAGUAACUAGGCACGUCUUGACGGUACCUAAUCAGAAAGCCACGGCUAACUACGUG
rnacentral:rRNA from 1 species